rnacentral:rRNA from 1 species
GGUUAAGCGACUAAGCGUACACGGUGGAUGCCCUGGCAGUCAGAGGCGAUGAAGGACGUGCUAAUCUGCGAAAAGCGCCGGCGAGGUGAUAUGAACCCUUGACCCGGCGAUGUCCGAAUGGGGAAACCCAGUGCAAUCCGUUGCACUAUCGUUAACUGAAUACAUAGGUUAACGAGGCGAACCGGGGGAACUGAAACAUCUAAGUACCCCGAGGAAAAGAAAUCAACCGAGAUUCCCCCAGUAGCGGCGAGCGAACGGGGAGCAGCCCGGAGUCUGAAUCAGCUUGUGUGUUAGUGGAACGGUCUGGAAAGUCCGACGGUACAGGGUGAUAGUCCCGUACACGAAAGCACACUUGCUGUGAACUCGAAGAGUAGGGCGGGACACGUGGUAUCCUGUCUGAAUAUGGGGGGACCAUCCUCCAAGGCUAAAUACUCCUGACUGACCGAUAGUGAACCAGUACCGUGAGGGAAAGGCGAAAAGAACCCCGGCGAGGGGAGUGAAAAAGAACCUGAAACCGUGUACGUACAAGCAGUGGGAGCCUCUUUAUGGGGUGACUGCGUACCUUUUGUAUAAUGGGUCAGCGACUUAUAUUCUGUAGCAAGGUUAACCGUAUAGGGGAGCCGAAGGGAAACCGAGUCUUAACUGGGCGUUAAGUUGCAGGGUAUAGACCCGAAACCCGGUGAUCUAGCCAUGGGCAGGUUGAAGGUUGGGUAACACUAACUGGAGGACCGAACCGACUAAUGUUGAAAAAUUAGCGGAUGACCUGUGGCUGGGGGUGAAAGGCCAAUCAAACCGGGAGAUAGCUGGUUCUCCCCGAAAGCUAUUUAGGUAGCGCCUCGUGAACUCAUCUUCGGGGGUAGAGCACUGUUUCGGCUAGGGGGCCAUCCCGGCUUACCAACCCGAUGCAAACUACGAAUACCGAAGAAUGUUAUCACGGGAGACACACGGCGGGUGCUAACGUCCGUCGUGAAGAGGGAAACAACCCAGACCGCCAGCUAAGGUCCCAAAGUCAUGGUUAAGUGGGAAACGAUGUGGGAAGGCACAGACAGCCAGGAUGUUGGCUUAGAAGCAGCCAUCAUUUAAAGAAAGCGUAAUAGCUCACUGGUCGAGUCGGCCUGCGCGGAAGAUGUAACGGGGCUAAACCAUGCACCGAAGCUGCGGCAGCGACACUAUGUGUUGUUGGGUAGGGGAGCGUUCUGUAAGCCGUUGAAGGUGUGCUGUGAGGCAUGCUGGAGGUAUCAGAAGUGCGAAUGCUGACAUAAGUAACGAUAAAGCGGGUGAAAAGCCCGCUCGCCGGAAGACCAAGGGUUCCUGUCCAACGUUAAUCGGGGCAGGGUGAGUCGACCCCUAAGGCGAGGCCGAAAGGCGUAGUCGAUGGGAAACAGGUUAAUAUUCCUGUACUUGGUGUUACUGCGAAGGGGGGACGGAGAAGGCUAUGUCAGCCGGGCGACGGUUGUCCCGGUUUAAGCAUGUAGGCGGAGGUUCCAGGUAAAUCCGGUACCUUGUUAACGCUGAGGUGUGAUGACGAGGCACUACGGUGCUGAAGUGAUAAAUGCCCUGCUUCCAGGAAAAGCCUCUAAGCAUCAGGUAACACGAAAUCGUACCCCAAACCGACACAGGUGGUCAGGUAGAGAAUACCAAGGCGCUUGAGAGAACUCGGGUGAAGGAACUAGGCAAAAUGGUGCCGUAACUUCGGGAGAAGGCACGCUGAUGUGUAGGUGAAGCCCCUGCGGGCGGAGCUGAAAUCAGUCGAAGAUACCAGCUGGCUGCAACUGUUUAUUAAAAACACAGCACUGUGCAAACACGAAAGUGGACGUAUACGGUGUGACGCCUGCCCGGUGCCGGAAGGUUAAUUGAUGGGGUUAGCUGUAAGGCGAAGCUCUUGAUCGAAGCCCCGGUAAACGGCGGCCGUAACUAUAACGGUCCUAAGGUAGCGAAAUUCCUUGUCGGGUAAGUUCCGACCUGCACGAAUGGCGUAAUGAUGGCCAGGCUGUCUCCACCCGAGACUCAGUGAAAUUGAACUCGCUGUGAAGAUGCAGUGUACCCGCGGCAAGACGGAAAGACCCCGUGAACCUUUACUAUAGCUUGACACUGAACACUGGUCCUUGAUGUGUAGGAUAGGUGGGAGGCUUUGAAGCGUGGACGCCAGUCUGCGUGGAGCCAACCUUGAAAUACCACCCUUUAAUGGCUGGUGUUCUAACGUAGACCCGUAAUCCGGGUUGCGGACAGUGUCUGGUGGGUAGUUUGACUGGGGCGGUCUCCUCCCAAAGAGUAACGGAGGAGCACGAAGGUUGGCUAAUCCUGGUCGGACAUCAGGAGGUUAGUGCAAUGGCAUAAGCCAGCUUGACUGCGAGCGUGACGGCGCGAGCAGGUGCGAAAGCAGGUCAUAGUGAUCCGGUGGUUCUGAAUGGAAGGGCCAUCGCUCAACGGAUAAAAGGUACUCCGGGGAUAACAGGCUGAUACCGCCCAAGAGUUCAUAUCGACGGCGGUGUUUGGCACCUCGAUGUCGGCUCAUCACAUCCUGGGGCUGAAGUAGGUCCCAAGGGUAUGGCUGUUCGCCAUUUAAAGUGGUACGCGAGCUGGGUUUAGAACGUCGUGAGACAGUUCGGUCCCUAUCUGCCGUGGGCGCUGGAGAAUUGAGGGGGGCUGCUCCUAGUACGAGAGGACCGGAGUGGACGCAUCACUGGUGUUCGGGUUGUCAUGCCAAUGGCACUGCCCGGUAGCUAAAUGCGGAAGAGAUAAGUGCUGAAAGCAUCUAAGCACGAAACUUGCCCCGAGAUGAGUUCUCCCUGAGACCCUGAGUCUCCUGAAGGAACGUUGAAGACGACGACGUUGAUAGGUCGGGUGUGUAAGCGCAGCGAUGCGUUGAGCUAACCGAUACUAAUGAACCGUGAGGCUUAACCUU